CUCUGUUCUGCCCAGUGGCCUGGCGCAGGAAAGGAAGUGCACACGCAGGCGGCCCCGGCUCGGGGGUGGCAGGGCCUCCCCUGAGAUGAGCUCCAGCAGCCGCAGGAGGUGGAUGCCGUCAGCCAGCUCUGUGUACAGGUUCCGGAUCUUGAUGCCCGCCUGGGGAGGGGACAGGGGUAAGUAUGGGGUCAGCCCAGCCUCACCUGUCCUCCCAUCCUGGGACCUGAGAGGUACGACCCAGAGCAGCUGCUUUGGAAGAAGGAGCUCUGGCCUCAGCUUGGCCUCAGGCAGAUGACCCCACAGCUCACCCCGGAGGCCCACUGGCCAGAGCUGGGGGCCUGGUAUGGGUGGGCUGUGGGUCACAGCUGGCUAUACUCACCUGGCCGCACUGGAAGACGUUAUUGAUCCACUUGGUGAAAGUCUUCUCCUGCAUCUGCAUGUGCCGGGCCUGUAGCUUGCGAAUGUGGCCCGUCUCGUACUGAGAGUCCAUGGUGAGACUUGGACUGGGCGGGACCCGGAGUUCUGUGCUGGGCCUCCUGCUGCGGUGCCCUGCAGCCCCGAGGAGCUCCCGGGGACUGUGGGGCUGACCAGCCAUCAGCCCUGCAGACUUUGGGGAUGAGGAGCUGCUGGAUGGCUCCCUAAACCUGGAGGGCAUGCAGAUUAGGGGAUGAUGUGAAUGGAGAUGGCCCCUCUACCAGGGGCCUGGGGUCCCGCCUUGCCAGACUGUCCUCACAUUUCAUGGGGGUUGCAGCUUGGAGCCCAGCCAGGUAAGGGCCAGUGCUUCUGGUCCCCUGUGCUUGAAUGGCCCAGGGCCCCCUUUGCCCCACCCCACCUUCCAGAUUCUUCUUCUCAGAGCCCCUGCUGCCAGGUCCCUCCACCACAGUGACUGGGACAGGUGGAAGGAAGACAGGAAACUGCUUACCUUGGUGAUGCCUGGGUCCCACAGAGACGGCUCUGCUGGACGGAUGGAGAUGGUAGAUAGCAGGGGCUGCUUACCUUGGUGAUGCCUGGGUUCCACAGAGGCGGCCCAGCUGGACGGAUGGAGAUGGCAGAUAGCAGGGGCUGUGGAGGGAGGGAGAGGGACAUCAGGAGAGGCCAAGGCUGGAGCAGGGCUGCACCACAGCCCUCCCCUUGAGCCAGCGUGCUGGGGUGACGGCACACAGGCGGCAUUGUCCUCCCACCUGCCACAGGGCGUGGCCCAGACAGGGAGGGGGUGGUUCAGGAAUGCUCCAGGGCCAUUGCCAGAUGAUGUCCUCCUUCAUCAUCCUCCCUUCCCCGCCAGCAACUUCUCCAACUCCAGGUGGGGGUCCUGGCUCCCAGGACGCAGAGGCCCAUGGAGCGGCCCUGCCACCGCAUGGGGUGCUGCAGUCUGCGUAGGAGGUACCAAAGGGCAGAGCCUCUGUGGGAAGCCUGUGGACGCACUUCCCAAUCUGAGACUGCCCUCUGUACCCUCUUGGGGCCUCUCUUAAGACCCUCAGCCCAUGGAGUCCUGUGUGAUGUUGUGAGCGUGGGAGGACAGACUGAACUGCUCGGCCCGUGGAGUCCUGUGUGAUGUUGUGAGCGGGGAGGACAGACUGAACUGCGUGGUGCUUCGCACAUAGACCUCAACAGGGAUUGGCAUUUUGAAGCUGUUGGCGGGGGCUGUGGACUGCUUUUCUUCCUUUCUAGCUCAACGGCAGCUAAAGCCACUGCAUACAAUGCAAGGACUGGCUCCUGUUUGGCCACGACUGAUUGCAGCCCCUGGUGAAAUGAGAACCCUGUGGGUCGGAACAAAGUUUGGAUUAUUUAUGUUGCAAGUAACUAAAAUCUCAAGUGAAACUGGU
rnacentral:lncRNA from 1 species